rnacentral:rRNA from 1 species
UACGUAGGGUGCGAGCGUGUCCGGAAUUAUUGGGCGUAAAGAGCUCGUAGGCGGUUCGUCGCGUCGAAUGUGAAAUCCCCGGGGCUCAACUCCGGGUCUGCAUUCGAUACGGGCGGACUAGAGUUCGGUAGGGGAGACUGGAAUUCCUGGGUGUAGCGGUGAAAUGCGCAGAUAUCAGGAGGAACACCGGUGGCGAAGGCGGGUCUCUGGGCCGAUACUGACGUGAGGAGCGAAAAGCGUGGGGGAGCGAACAGG